GCUCAUGGAUGAGCUAAGACAGUGGUUUUUUGUGAUGGAAUCUACUUCUGGUGAAGAUACUGUGAA
rnacentral:pre_miRNA from 1 species